rnacentral:ncRNA from 1 species
GCGAAGCUUGGGCGAGAAGAGGGAAUAGUGAAAUCGUAGCCUGACGAACAGAAACCUAAUACAGAGGCGCGCACGGCGGAUAAGCGGGCAGUAAAGUCGCGAAGUCCAAAAGGCAACCAUAACCCGUACGUGUAAAUUAGGUAGGUAGACAAGGAAAGAAU